rnacentral:rRNA from 1 species
UGGGGGGGCUAAUAAUGCAAGUCGACCCCCUUGAUGGGAGCUUGCUCCCUGAUAUUAUCGGCGGACGGGUGAGUAACACGUGGGUAACCUGCCUGUGGGAUUGGGAUAACUCCGGGAAACCGGAGCUAAUACCGGAUUAUUCUUUGAACCACAUGGUUCCAAAUUGAAAUAUGGCAUCAACCUAUCACUUAUUAAUGGACCCGCGGCGCAUUAGCUAGUUGGUGAGGUAACGGCUCACCAAGCAACGAUGCGUUCCGACCUGAGAGGGUGAUCGGCCACACUGGGACUGACACACGGCCCAAACUCCUACGGGAGGCAGCAGUAGGGAAUCUUCCGCAAUGGACGAAAGUCUGACGGAGCAACGCCGCGUGAACGAUGAAGGCCUUCGGGUCGUAAAGUUCUGUUGUUAGGGAAGAACAAGUACCAGAGUAACUGCUGGUACCUUGACGGUACCUAACCAGAAAGCCACGGCUAACUACU